rnacentral:rRNA from 1 species
GAUGAACGCUAGCGGCAGGCUUAAUACAUGCAAGUCGAGGGGCAGCAGCUUUAUAGCAAUAUAGAGGCUGGCGACCGGCAAACGGGUGCGGAACACGUACACAACCUUCCUUGAAUAGGGGGAUAGCCCAUAGAAAUGUGGAUUAAUACCCCGUAAUAUAGCGGUGUGGCAUCACACUGUUAUUAUAGUUUCGACGAUUCGAGAUGGGUGUGCGGCUGAUUAGGUAGUUGGCGGGGUAAAGGCCCACCAAGCCUUCGAUCAGUAGCUGAUGUGAGAGCAUGAUCAGCCACACGGGCACUGAGACACGGGCCCGACUCCUACGGGAGGCAGCAGUAAGGAAUAUUGGUCAAUGGACGCAAGUCUGAACCAGCCAUGCCGCGUGAAGGAUGAAGGUCCUCUGGAUUGUAAACUUCUUUUAUAGGGGGCGAAAAAAGGUUUUUCUAAAUCACUUGACAGUACCCUAUGAAUAAGCACCGGCUAACUCCGUGCCAGCAGCCGCGGUAAUACGGAGGGUGCAAGCGUUAUCCGGAUUCACUGGGUUUAAAGGGUGCGUAGGCGGGUAGGUAAGUCAGAGGUGAAAUCCUGGAGCUUAACUCUAGAACUGCCUUUGAUACUAUCUAUCUUGAAUAUGGUGGAGGUAAGCGGAAUAUGUCAUGUAGCGGUGAAAUGCAUAGAUAUGACAUAGAACACCUAUUGCGAAGGCAGCUUACUACGCCUAUAUUGGCGCUGAGGCACGAAAGCGUGGGG